UUUUUGUGCCUUAGCUUAUCCAGCCCUCAAAUGGGUGUGGUGGGGAAGUUGUCUUCCUUGCAAUCCACAGAGUCCUUUUUGUGGAAAAGCCAACAUUUCUCUCUCUGAUGCUGUUUUCUUCACAAUGUCCUCAAUGUGCUGGGAAUUGGAGAAUUCCUCGGGUCAUGGACACGUUGAUUCAGCCGCUCAACAGAACACGGUGGCCUGGGUGGAUAGAGAGGUUACUAGUACCUGCCUCUCUGAGAAGUCAGUGACCAUGUCAACCUUCUAGGCUGAGCAGCAACACUUCAGAAAACUUCCCC
rnacentral:lncRNA from 1 species